UACCGAGUUUACAACUCCCAAACCCAAUGUGAACGUUACCAAACUGUUGCCUCGGCGGGAUCUCUGCCCCGGGUGCGUCGCAGCCCCGGACCAAGGCGCCCGCCGGAGGACCAACCAAAACUCUUAUUGUAUACCCCCUCGCGGGUUUUUUUUAUAAUCUGAGCCUUCUCGGCGCCUCUCGUAGGCGUUUCGAAAAUGAAUCAAAACUUUCAACAACGGAUCUCUUGGUUCUGGCAUCGAUGAAGAACGCAGCGAAAUGCGAUAAGUAAUGUGAAUUGCAGAAUUCAGUGAAUCAUCGAAUCUUUGAACGCACAUUGCGCCCGCCAGUAUUCUGGCGGGCAUGCCUGUCCGAGCGUCAUUUCAACCCUCGAACCCCUCCGGGGGGUCGGCGUUGGGGAUCGGCCCUCCCUUAGCGGGUGGCCGUCUCCGAAAUACAGUGGCGGUCUCGCCGCAGCCUCUCCUGCGCAGUAGUUUGCACACUCGCAUCGGGAGCGCGGCGCGUCCACAGCCGUUAAACACCCAACUUCUGAAAUGUUGACCUCGGAUCAGGUAGGAAUACCCGC
rnacentral:rRNA from 1 species